AGAGAGAUAUGGAGGGAGAGAGAGAUGAAGGGAGAGAGAGAUGAAGGGAGAGAGAGAUGAAGGGAGAGAGAGAUGAAGGGAGAGAGAUAUGGAGGGAGAGAGAGAUGAAGGGAGAGAGAUAUGGAGGGAGAGAGAGAUGAAGGGAGAGAGAGAUGAAGGGAGAGAGAGAUGAAGGGAGAGAGAUAUGGAGGGAGAGAGAGAUGGAGGGAGGUCACCCUCCAGUGGUAGAAUAACUCUGUUUCUCUCCUCUGUCGACAGCCUCCAGUCUGCAUGAGUGUAUGAAUGUGUUUCUGUGCUAUGAUCCAUAGAGGAGUCUCUCACUGAUCUCAUUUUCUCUCUCUCUCUACUGUGCGAUGUAGGAACAAAGAUGUGAUUGGUUAAGGAGGAAGAGGGAGGGGCUGUCAGACAUAUCAUGUGGUAGGAGGGUUUGAACUACUAGAGAGAGAGAGAGAGAGAGAGAUGCAGAAAUAGGGAACUACAUAGUUGUAAGACUGCAAAGAGUGAGAGAGAGAGAGAGAGGGAGGGCAGAGAGAGAACAUAAAGUACAUUAAGUUUGUAUUUAAGUUCCUAUAAGUAGAGAGAGAACAGAGAAAGUUACAGACUUGGACACACAAUAUUAUAUCAGAACCUAUAGACACCUGGACCAACCUGGAGAGAACACAACAUUAUAUCAGGACCUAUAGACACCUGGAGAGAACACAACAUUAUAUCAGAACCUAUAGACACCUGGACCAACCUGGAGAGAACACAACAUUAUAUCAGGACCUAUAGACACCUGGAGAGAACACAACAUUAUAUCAGGACCUAUAGACACCUGGACCAACCUGGAGAGAACACAACAAGAUGAGGAUCCUGCUGAUAGUCAUCCUCCUCUCCUUCAUGACAGGUUGUUUGAGCUCCUUCAAAGUGACAGGAUACUCUGGAGGAACUGUCAUCAUCUCCUGUCAAUAUUCCACAGAAGACAGAAGUAAUGACAAAUAUUUCUGUAAGCAGCAGAACAGUUUGAGAUGUAAGGAUCAAAUCAAAACUGGAUUGAGGAACACCUGGCAGCACAGUGGUAGAUUCUCCCUGUAUGACAACACUGAAGGAAACGACUUCAAGGUGAUCAUCAGACAACUGACCAGACAAGAUGAAGGGACCUACUGGUGUGGAGUGGACAUACCUACUGCACCUGACAGUUAUACCAAGGUAGAGCUGGAGGUGAAGAAGGAUGACUGCUGUGAGAA
rnacentral:lncRNA from 13 species